rnacentral:sRNA from 1 species
ACAGAAUCACUGAAAAUCAUUUCAUUGGGUGUUCCUCCCCAGAAAGCUCUUUCACAUGGCCCAGUCACAACAAAAGAGAAAUCCUGGUUUCGUGCGGUGUAGCAGAAAUAUUCUUGUCGGCAACAGACCUAUCCAUACUCAAUUGGCUACCUGAAGAGCCUGCUGCGAAAAGCACAAAUGUGAACCACUGGUGUUUAUAUACUUAUUUGGCGGUGUGCUAUGUUGUGACUAGACAUUUGCCGAUAGCUUGAAUAGUCAAAUAAAAAUGGCAAACCAAACUAUAAUUAUAGCACUAUUGCAGUGACCUGAUGGAGUGAUGUAUAUCUGCUAGUCAUGGUGUCUGGGCUUGGAGAAGCACUUGAUGGCAGGGGAUAAAAUCGGUAACAGGCCCGUGAUACUGGAAGCAACGCAAGGGGGCUUUUGGCAAGUGCAAGAUCAAUGAAAUAAAUUUGUACCCGCACAAAUUCAUGUAAGAUAAUUUGUAGUUAGGAUAAUUCUUUGGAUGUUGGUCUUAUCCUAUUGACCGAUAUAGC